rnacentral:rRNA from 1 species
CCUACGGGGGGCAGCAGUAGGGAAUAUUGCUCAAUGGGGGAAACCCUGAAGCAGCAACGCCGCGUGGAGGAUGAAGGUUUUCGGAUUGUAAACUCCUUUUGUUAGAGAAGAUAAUGACGGUAUCUAACGAAUAAGCACCGGCUAACUCAGUGCCAGCAGCCGCGGGAAUACGGAGGGUGCAAGCGUUACUCGGAAUCACUGGGCGUAAAGAGCGCGUAGGCGGGAUAGCAAGUCAGAUGUGAAAUCCUAUGGCUUAACCAUAGAACUGCAUUUGAAACUGUUAUUCUAGAGUAUGGGAGAGGUAGGUGGAAUGCUUGGUGUAGGGGUAAAAUCCGUAGAGAUCAAGAGGAAUACUCAGUGCGAAGGCGACCUGCUAGAACAUAACUGACGCUGAUGCGCGAAAGCGUGGGGAGCAAACAGGAUUAGAUACCCGUGUAGUC